AUUGAACGCUGGCGGCAGGCUUAGCACAUGCAAGUCGAGCGGAGAUGAGGUGCUUGCACCUUAUCUUAGCGGCGGACGGGUGAGUAAUGCUUAGGAAUCUGCCUAUUAGUGGGGGACAACAUUCCGAAAGGGAUGCUAAUACCGCAUACGUCCUACGGGAGAAAGCAGGGGAUCUUCGGACCUUGCGCUAAUAGAUGAGCCUAAGUCGGAUUAGCUAGUUGGUGGGGUAAAGGCCUACCAAGGCGACGAUCUGUAGCGGGUCUGCGAGGAUGAUCCGCCACACUGGGACUGAGACACGGCCCAGACUCCUACGGGAGGCAGCAGUGGGGAAUAUUGGACAAUGGGCGGAAGCCUGAUCCAGCCAUGCCGCGUGUGUGAAGAAGGCCUUUUGGUUGUAAAGCACUUUAAGCGAGGAGGAGGCUACCUGGAUUAAUACUCUAGGAUAGUGGACGUUACUCGCAGAAUAAGCACCGGCUAACUCUGUGCCAGCCGCCGCAGUAACAC
rnacentral:rRNA from 1 species